CUUAUUAAUAAUUUAGCCACUAAAAAUGUUCGUCUGCAAUCAAAUGUCCAGCAAAAGAUCCAUUUCAAUAUAAUACUAUGAAGGAAACCAAACAGCACGGCGAUCCAGUGGAUAAACAUGAUUCAGUUGCGACUGCUAUAAACGAGUGUUUUAGGUGGGUUUGUAUUUGCUUAAACGUGUUAUUCGAUUUGUGAUUUUAGAAGGGCAUCGAGAAAUAUGGCUACAAAAUACUUGUGGAUUACCGGAAUAGCUGCAGCUGUUCUCAUACUUGCCUUGUGCGUCCACACAGACGAAGAAGAAAACAACGACCUCGACAGCCUUAUUGCAAACCUAGUGAAUGUGUUAAAAGAACGUACGUUUGAAGCGCAGGACACAAUGAAGGAAGAAGCAGGACGCGCGGACCUAAAUGAUCACAAACCAGGCUCAAAGCGAGGUCGUUCUUGGUGUCGACAAGUAGGAAGACGUACGUGUGGGUGUGGGGGUAGUUGCGGCCCAAAAGUGAACUCGGAAUUAUCAACAAGCUAAACAAACGUGUAUUGAAUUUGAAUACAGAUAUGCGUUUAUAGUGUUUAUCAUUUGACUCGAUGGAACUGCUUAAAAAACGAUAAAGAAAGAAAUAUCUACGCAACCAUAUUUAAAUGUUAUAGUUUGUUCUGUUCAUGGCUCUAGUUUGGUAUCGAGUCUUAUUAUCCUUAAUCACUUUUAAUCGUCCUGUUGCAAUGCUGUUAAGUUCCAGCUCCUAUAUUGAUGUAAGAAACGGAUUGUAUCCUUUUAAGUGUAUAUUUUAGUUUUAAAAUGUAUUUACGGUUGAACAAGAGAAAAAUGUUCACAGUUCUUAAAGUGCAUACUAUUUUAUCAUAUUUAUUGUAUCCUCAUACUGUGUAUUGUGUGAAGUCGCAUCGAUGAUUUAUAUAAAUAGUUGAUAGUCACGUUUUAUAUAAAGAGUAACCCAUCGAUUUGCAGUUGGAAUGAAACAGGCCGUGAAUAAUCUUCAGGAUAUAAUGUGAAGAAAAAGCGGAAGCGGAUCGUGCUAAAAAAAUUGAUACCCCAAAAUAAAAUAAUAUUUUAUGUCCGACGUAGUUCGCUUAAACGUCAGUCUGCACAGAGGAUGCGAUUUCUAGAAAAUGUAAAGUUUGAAUAAUGGUCAUACAUAUACACUUAUAAAAUAUAAAUAAGUACACAUGUAUCAUGCACUACCACUUUGUUGUAGAGUUCAUUAAAAACAUUUUUUUAAAUUGUGUAUAAAGGGACCUUUCCACGUUUUGGUUUAUUGACAAAAUAACACAAAAUGUUUCAGAUUCACAAA